UGGGGAAUUGUUCGCAAUGGGCGCAAGCCUGACGACGCAACGCCGCGUGGAGGACGAAGGCCUUCGGGUUGUAAACUCCUGUCACGGAUUAAGAAUGUCGUGCGGUGAACAUCCGUACGAUUGACGUAAGUCCGAGAGGAAGCACUGGCUAACUCUGUGCCAGCAGCCGCGGUAAUACAGAGAGUGCAAACGUUGUUCGGAAUUACUGGGCUUAAAGCGCACGUAGGCGGCGCCGCAAGUGUGGGGUGAAAGCCCACGGCUUACCCGUGGAAUUGCCUGGCAGACUGCGGUGCUAGAGUGUGGUAGGGGAGAGCGGAACUCCUGGUGGAGCGGUGAAAUGCGUAGAUAUCAGGAGGAACACCGGUGGCGAAGGCGGCUCUCUGGUCCACAACUGACGCUGAGGUGCGAAAGCUAGGGGAGCAAACGGGAUUAGAUACCCCGGUAGUCCCUGAGCGGGCUGGCAAGGCGCAU
rnacentral:rRNA from 1 species